CUCGUUUGCUCACGAACAAAAGUAUUAAUCGAAAAUCAUGUGGUUUGGAAGAGGAGAUUAUGGACAUCACUCCUUAGAUCGUUACUCAGCUAUAGCUGGAAUGUCAGCUGUUGGAUUUACGGCGAUAAUUCCAAGUUUUUAUCGUUCCACUCCAGGCGUUUUGAAGGUCCCACGUUCGCGAGCUGCCAUAUUUAUCGCCCCAGCACUGUGUGGGAGUAUCGCUUGUUUCUCAUGGCAAUAUGUUGUGUCUGAUCCUAUAAAAAGACGUAAAAUGGAAUGUGUUUCAUGUGCAGCUAUCAGGGGAUCACUGACUUUGGGUCUCAGUGGCUGCGUGGUACCAUCAGUUUUAAUAGCAUCGUUACACUUUGGGGGAAGGACAGGUACACCUCAGCCGUUCUUUACUUCUUUUCUUGACUUCUGUUAUUCUCCAUAUUACGGCCGAUCGAAGGCGUUCAUCAUUGGACUUGGAUUAUUUCAAGCAGUGCUUGGGUAUGGACUGGCCAGCUGGGUUUACACGGACGAGUUUAUUAACAGGAGGAGUGCUCCUAGUUGAUUUAACGCCAGAUGCAAUAUCAGUAUAAACUUCUUUGAUCAGUUUGGAUCAUUCCAAUGUAUCAGAACAGCCACGACUGGCAUUUCAACCAAUGAGAAUUCAUGUUGUGAUUUGAGUGUCACCUUUCAAAACAAAGCAAUUUACAAGAUGGUGUAUGAAGGAAGAUUUGGUGAAUAAUGCCCUUUUGAUUUGUCCAUUAUUUUCAUUUGAACGGGAAGGUUUAAGAUUGUGACAUUAUAGAUUUUGCAUUAGUUAAAGAAGAAUUACAAAUGCAACUC